AUGAAGUGUCCGGACACCCAAACAAGUGUCCGGACACCUCGAAUAGUUUUUGAGCAGAUAUGCAAUCUGACUCAUUUUCUUCGCAAAGUGUCCGGACACCCUUUAGAGCCGUCCAGACACUUAUCGGGAAAUUGGGUUUUAAAACAUGUUUAACAUUUCUGGGUUCAUUAUAUUCCACUGGUUUUACAGAAAUAGCCGAGAGAGAGAGAGAGUGUGGAGAGAAGGUGAUUUUGAAGGAGAUCAAGGAGAAGAAAGCUUGAAUCAAGAGUUUGGAACUUGUGUAAGCUUGGUUUUCAAGAUUUCUUCAAGAUUGAGAUUUGAGCUUGGAUUGAAGUGUGGAGAUAGGAGGAGAGAUGGUUGUGCUAGGGUUUGAAGAUUUGGGCAAAGUGAGUAGUUUACCUUGAAAUUUUGAGAUAAAUGUGAGUAGUUGGUUUGGAAAAUAAUAAUUUUGGGGUGUAAAUUGAAUUGUAAUUGUGUGUAUGGUUUAGGUUGAUUGGGCUUGGAAGAGUGGUGGAGUUUUACCCAAACGAGGUGAUAUAGGUACUAGCGCUAGUGCUCCGACCACGGAUCAGCAGGGAGGCGCGUGACG